rnacentral:rRNA from 1 species
GGGUUGUGAGGUUAAGCGACUAAGCGUACACGGUGGAUGCCCUGGCAGUCAGAGGCGAUGAAGGACGUGCUAAUCUGCGAUAAGCGUCGGUAAGGUGAUAUGAACCGUUAUAACCGGCGAUUUCCGAAUGGGGAAACCCAGUGUGUUUCGACACACUAUCAUUAACUGAAUCCAUAGGUUAAUGAGGCGAACCGGGGGAACUGAAACAUCUAAGUACCCCGAGGAAAAGAAAUCAACCGAGAUUCCCCCAGUAGCGGCGAGCGAACGGGGAGCAGCCCAGAGCCUGAAUCAGUGUGUGUGUUAGUGGAAGCGUCUGGAAAGGCGCGCGAUACAGGGUGACAGCCCCGUACACAAAAAUGCACAUGCUGUGAGCUCGAUGAGUAGGGCGGGACACGUGGUAUCCUGUCUGAAUAUGGGGGGACCAUCCUCCAAGGCUAAAUACUCCUGACUGACCGAUAGUGAACCAGUACCGUGAGGGAAAGGCGAAAAGAACCCCGGCGAGGGGAGUGAAAAAGAACCUGAAACCGUGUACGUACAAGCAGUGGGAGCACGCUUAGGCGUGUGACUGCGUACCUUUUGUAUAAUGGGUCAGCGACUUAUAUUCUGUAGCAAGGUUAACCGAAUAGGGGAGCCGAAGGGAAACCGAGUCUUAACUGGGCGUUAAGUUGCAGGGUAUAGACCCGAAACCCGGUGAUCUAGCCAUGGGCAGGUUGAAGGUUGGGUAACACUAACUGGAGGACCGAACCGACUAAUGUUGAAAAAUUAGCGGAUGACUUGUGGCUGGGGGUGAAAGGCCAAUCAAACCGGGAGAUAGCUGGUUCUCCCCGAAAGCUAUUUAGGUAGCGCCUCGUGAAUUCAUCUCCGGGGGUAGAGCACUGUUUCGGCAAGGGGGUCAUCCCGACUUACCAACCCGAUGCAAACUGCGAAUACCGGAGAAUGUUAUCACGGGAGACACACGGCGGGUGCUAACGUCCGUCGUGAAGAGGGAAACAACCCAGACCGCCAGCUAAGGUCCCAAAGUCAUGGUUAAGUGGGAAACGAUGUGGGAAGGCCCAGACAGCCAGGAUGUUGGCUUAGAAGCAGCCAUCAUUUAAAGAAAGCGUAAUAGCUCACUGGUCGAGUCGGCCUGCGCGGAAGAUGUAACGGGGCUAAACCAUGCACCGAAGCUGCGGCAGCGACGCUGAUGCGUUGUUGGGUAGGGGAGCGUUCUGUAAGCCUGCGAAGGUGUGCUGUGAGGCAUGCUGGAGGUAUCAGAAGUGCGAAUGCUGACAUAAGUAACGAUAAAGCGGGUGAAAAGCCCGCUCGCCGGAAGACCAAGGGUUCCUGUCCAACGUUAAUCGGGGCAGGGUGAGUCGACCCCUAAGGCGAGGCCGAAAGGCGUAGUCGAUGGGAAACAGGUUAAUAUUCCUGUACUUGGUGUUACUGCGAAGGGGGGACGGAGAAGGCUAUGUUGGCCGGGCGACGGUUGUCCCGGUUUAAGCGUGUAGGCUGGUUUUCCAGGCAAAUCCGGAAAAUCAAGGCUGAGGCGUGAUGACGAGGCACUACGGUGCUGAAGCAACAAAUGCCCUGCUUCCAGGAAAAGCCUCUAAGCAUCAGGUAACAUCAAAUCGUACCCCAAACCGACACAGGUGGUCAGGUAGAGAAUACCAAGGCGCUUGAGAGAACUCGGGUGAAGGAACUAGGCAAAAUGGUGCCGUAACUUCGGGAGAA